ensembl:snRNA U6 U6 spliceosomal RNA
GAAUGUUCUCUUCCGCCCAUGUACUAAAAUUGGAAUGAUACAGAGAUUAGCAUGGCUUCUGUGCAAGUAUGACAAGCAAAGCCAUGUAAUAGUCCAUAUUUUU